rnacentral:rRNA from 1 species
GGGCCCGCACAAGCGGUGGAGUAUGUGGUUUAAUUCGAUGCAACGCGAAGAACCUUACCAGGGUUUGACAUCCUGCGAAUUUCUGGGAAACCGGAAAGUGCCUUCGGGAGCGCAGUGACAGGUGGUGCAUGGCUGUCGUCAGCUCGUGUCGUGAGAUGUUGGGUUAAGUCCCGCAACGAGCGCAACCCACGUCUUUAGUUGCCAGCAUUUAGUUGGGCACUCUAGAGAGACCGCCGGUGAUAAACCGGAGGAAGGUGUGGAUGACGUCAAGUCAUCAUGCCCCUUACAUCCUGGGCUACACACGUACUACAAUGCUACGGACAAAGGGCAGCAAACUCGCGAGGUGGAGCA